AAUGUGAAAUUACAUUUAAAUUUUUCUGAAGAAAAAUGACCAAGCACCAAGCGAUAUGUCAUUGCAUUUUUUAAAUUAGUACUAAGUUUGAAUAUCAUCUACCACAAUCAGCAUUACGCCUCUUACAUUACGAAUUUCUGAAUAUCAGGUGAAUUUUAUGUAACAUUUCGAUUUUAGAAUAUAUCAUGGCGUACCGAGCAGCAACUCGGCGACUUACACAUUUCCUGAUAGUAAUGGAUUCUGCUGUGGUAAGUUCUUUAGGUCUCGCCUAAACUCUUUAAGCUCAAAAAGCUAUGCACUGGUUUUAUUAAGGCCUCUUUAGAAUUCUUUUCCCUUCACGAUACCUUAACAAAACUGAAACCAGAAAUACUACUCUUAAUCUGCGCUAUAUGUCUCUGCUAAAAACUUAUAAAUUUUAUGGCAGCACGGCACCAGAUCAAAUACACUCAACAGCUUUUUUAUCUGAUGCUACUUUCACAAACGUAAACAAAAGUGUUCCGUCUGCAACUUAACGUGUUGAUUGUGCUUUCUAAGUGAGAAAAUUAAAGAUGCCGUACAAGAUUGUGCAGACCAUCGGGGCUGGAGAGGCUUGCCUGAGUGUUGUUCCCAGUAAGUGUUCCCAGUUCGAAUCAAAUUUUGGGAAGCAAACGGUAUACUAUACUGGCCGAAAAAACAUCUCGUAGCAAAGUUAUCACUGGAAGAGGAAUCUGCACCAACCGACAAGUGGGAAACAUUCAACUGCAUUAAGAAGCGAGAAUUUACAAGUCAUGCCGAAGCCUGCAAUGAAAUGCAAAAGAUGGAAGAAAAAUCGGAUACUGAAAUGGAAACGGAGAGUUUGCCAGUGCAAAAGGUACGCCGUCGUGCGGAUAAAAACAUAUAUUUUAAUAAACUGGAUUUCAAUGCCAUCGCCGAACAGCAAAGUGUCAAACAGAUAGCAGUGAACUCCUCUGAACCAGAAGUGUACCUGGACACUGAGCAUGAGAUGUUUAUUAAUACAAACCAAGAGCAAAUGCAAUUGACGAAAGAGAGCCAAAGUAAUGACUCAACAUCUUAUAUGAUUACGUCGAGCCUAGUAAUAUUAUUGGCCGUAUGGAACCAACCGAUUUGAUGGCAACUGUUAUCGCUAAUAAGAAUUUACUUCUUGGGAAUCGAAAUAGAAUUAUGCAAUCAUUGGCAAAAGUGAUUACACAGGUGGAGUAUCUUUUGCAAGCAUCCAAUGAAAGAGAAUUUCGUCAUGAUGAACACAUACAAAUUAACAUGGAAAACGGAUUCGAUCCUGUUAAUUCGCUAGAUGAUUUGGACAAGCUGGAGGAUUCUCUCAAAGACGACAACAUCAUGGAGAAGUAUAUUCGCAGCAUGAGUUUCGUUUGUGGAACGAGCGGAAAGUGCAAUGGGUUAGACUGUUGCUAUAAAUUGGUGGAUUACUUCUUCACCCGCCAAUUCUUGAUUUUAUGUUCCUGGACUGGAAGUUCCAGGAAACCAGUAAAGAAGAAUAACUCCGAUCUAGCCAGAUCUUCGCUUGAGGAUAAUGAUAAGAUUGCGUUAAAAUUUUACAAGAAAAUUCGUGCUCUUUUUCUCAAAUUGAUCGUAUUAGCAGACAGAGAUUUUUUGGAAAUCAACUGCGACAUGUUCUUCAAACGAAUAAUGAAAAACAGCAAGCAAAGAGUUUUAGCCAAACAAGCUACCUCCAAACACAGAAAUCGGCCAAAAAAUUUACAUUAUAAAAACAAGAAACCAGGUCAGAUUUUAGGAAAAGCCUCUGAAGUAACAAAUACCAUCACCGAACAAAUUUGAAUCGUAUUAUUCUGUUUUUUUUUUAAUACUCACUGAUCCAUUUACUUAAAUACUUAAUCCUUAUAUGAAUAGCAAUGAGAUUUUAAUAGGAACUAAACUCAGGUUACGUUAACAUCAGUUAAAUAAAACUAAAUUGAAGUCAAGAGA